GAGAUGGAUUGGUGCCUUCGGGAACUCUGACACAGGUGCUGCAUGGCUGUCGUCAGCUCGUGUCGUGAGAUUAGUUCGGGUUAAGUCCCGUAACGAGCGCAACCCUUGUCCUUAGUUACCAGCACGUUAUGGUGGGCACUCUAAGGAGACUGCCGGUGACAAACCGGAGGGAAGGUGGGGAUGACGUCAAGUCAUCAUGGCCCUUACGGCCUGGGCUACACACGUGCUACAAUGGUCGGUACAAAGGGUUGCCAAGCCGCGAGGUGGAGCUAAUCCCAUAAAACCGAUCGUAGUCCGGAUCGCAGUCUGCAACUCGACUGCGUGAAGUCGGAAUCGCUAGUAAUCGUGAAUCAGAAUGUCACGGUGAAUACGUUCCCGGGCCUU
rnacentral:rRNA from 1 species